GUCGCGGGCAUAGCCGAGGAGGUGGUGGUCGUGGUUGUGGAAGAGGUCGCGGAAGACAAUCACUAAAUAAUGCGCUUGUAAAGUGUUUUCGAUGUCACAAACUAGGACACUUCCAAUACGAGUGCCCACUAGUGGAAAAACAAGCACAUUAUGCAAUGUACGAGGAAUCGUCAAGGGUAGAAGAUGAAAUACUACUGGUGGCGGAUUAUUCAAGAUGGGAUAUCGUUGUUAGGUACCCACUCCAUUAAAUCUCAAGAAAACGUUGCAAUUGAUGCUACGUUGAAGGAUCUGAAGGUAAAAAAUUAUCUUUUCU
rnacentral:lncRNA from 1 species